UCAUUUGGUGUCUCCACGACACUAACUCCAAUGGAAUCAAGAACCCCAAUCAUGAUCAACAAAUACCAAAUUUGGCUAACAAAACUUAACUACCAUACGGUAGUAGCAAAAAAGAAUGAAAAAUGCUUUUACCAUUACUCAUCAUCACUCACCUCCGCAACCAGUAUCGCAUUUCAUUUCAUUUCUCAGAAUUCAAGCAUGCUUCGUCUGACAAAGCUAAAACCACCGUCAUCUUCACCGCACCAACUCCUCCAACGCUGCUCCGUCAGCCGCACCGCCAAAGGAAAAGGAAAAGCCGGUCAAAUCCUAAAACGUUCCAAAAUCACAGUAAAAAAAUCCGGACCCGAACCCACACCUGGAGCCCCAACUGGUUCCCGCGAGAAACAAGAACGCGAACGCCUCUACGAUCAAUGCCUCAACGCACCAACACCACUUCGUUUUCUCAAACCCAAACAACGUGCACGCGAAGCUGAACGAGAAAAAUUAGGGUUAAUUAGCAAAGAUCGUCAAAUUGAACUUGAUAUGAUGAAGAAGAAAAACGCCAAAUUUAGGGUUUUUGAGAAACCAACGAUAAUGGGAACCCCUGGGUUGGAUUAUAUAACAUUAGGGUUAGUGGAUGCUGAGAAAUUGCCAAAGUAUGAAUUGACGAAGGAAGAUGGGAUGAAAUUGGCCAAGGAGUAUAGUAGGGUUUUGAUGAGGAAGCAUAGGGCGAGACAAGCGGCAGAGACAAAUCUUUUGAGGAUGAAAAAGAAGGCUAUUGAAGCUUUGCCUGGGGGUUUGAAGGAAACUGCUUUGGUGCCGGAUUUGACGCCGUUUCCGAUGAAUAUGUUUAUGGCAACGCUUACGCCGCCUAUUGAUGGGUAUAUUGAGGAGAUUAAGGAGGCUGCUGAUAGGAUCAGUGGGAAGGAGAAGAUUAGGUAGAUUGGUAGUGUUGAUUUUCAGGGUCCGUCACAGUCAAAUUGAUUCUGGUCAGGACUAGCCUUUGUGGAGUUCUGAAGGUACUCCUUCAUUUUCUUACAAGUUACUUCUUUGUGUUCUAAGGAUGAGCAAUCAUAGUACAUUGAUAAAUUAUUGAUGAAUACCUGUCCUUAGUCCUUAAACGGUCAAAGAUUUCUCAUAUUUCUUAUGGUUUAGUGUUGGGUGCAACGGUUGUAUUGGCAGAAGGAUCGUCCUCUGUAUCCUCCUCUUCUGAAUCACUCUCAUCAUAGCAAAACUCAAUUACAGCCGUGAGCCUUACCAAUCAUCAUGCAGAGCAGUUGUAACUAAUAAUUAUUUUUUGAUUGGAUUAUAAGCUGAUUUCUUAGGCCAUACAAGGCUUGUCUAGAUUUACUUAUUUUUGAGCUUAUGAAAAAUAACUUAAUGUAAAUAAAUAAGCUUUUAUGUUAAUUCAUAAGUUCUCACAAACAAAAUUUGUAUCUUCUUAAGCUGUUUUUUCAUAAAUUACUUUGACACACCUACGAAUAAUACACAAAAGCUUAUUUCUUUGCAUAAAUUAAAAAAUAAGUCAAUCCAAACAGGCUCGUAGUGUGUUUUGAAAGCGAGUGCAGCUGGAUUUGUAGGGUUAAUAAGGGAUCAUAAUGGCAACUUCAUUAAGGGUUAUUAUUAUAGAAUUGGUUACUCUAA